rnacentral:rRNA from 1 species
UAGGGAAUAUUGGGCAAUGGAGGCAACUCUGACCCAGCCAUGCCGCGUGAACGAAGAAGGCGCUAUGCGUUGUAAAGUUCUUUUAGAUGGGGCGAAAAUGUGGGAUUUAUCCCAUACUGACGGUACCAUCGGAAUAAGCACCGGCUAACUCCGUGCCAGCAGCCGCGGUAAUACGGAGGGUGCAAGCGUUAUCCGGAAUCACUGGGUUUAAAGGGUGCGUAGGCGGGACGAUAAGUCAGAGGUGAAAUCUCAUCGCUUAACGAUGGAAUUGCCUUUGAUACUGUUGUUCUUGAGAUAAGUUGAGGUUGGCGGAAUGAGACAUGUAGCGGUGAAAUGCAUAGAUAUGUCUUAGAACACCGAUUGCGAAGGCAGCUGACUGGACUUUAUCUGACGCUGAGGC